rnacentral:rRNA from 1 species
CCUACGGGUGGCAGCAGUGAGGAAUAUUGGUCAAUGGACGCGAGUCUGAACCAGCCAAGUAGCGUGAAGGAUGACUGCCCUAUGGGUUGUAAACUUCUUUUAUAUGGGAAUAAAAUGUUCCACGUGUGGGAUUUUGUAUGUACCAUAUGAAUAAGGAUCGGCUAACUCCGUGCCAGCAGCCGCGGUAAUACGGAGGAUCCGAGCGUUAUCCGGAUUUAUUGGGUUUAAAGGGAGCGUAGGUGGAUUGUUAAGUCAGUUGUGAAAGUUUGCGGCUCAACCGUAAAAUUGCAGUUGAAACUGGCAGUCUUGAGUACAGUAGAGGUAGGCGGAAUGCGUGGUGUAGCGGUGAAAUGCUUAGAUAUCACGAAGAACUCCGAUUGCGAAGGCAGUUCACUGGACUGCAACUGACACUGAGGCUCGAAAGUGUGGGUAUCAAACAGGAUUAGAUACCCUUGUAGUC